UUGAUCCUGGCUCAGGACGAACGCUGGCGGCGUGCCUAAUACAUGCAAGUCGUACGCUUCUUUUUCCACCGGAGCUUGCUCCACCGGAAAAAGAGGAGUGGCGAACGGGUGAGUAACACGUGGGUAACCUGCCCAUCAGAAGGGGAUAACACUUGGAAACAGGUGCUAAUACCGUAUAACAAUCGAAACCGCAUGGUUUUGAUUUGAAAGGCGCUUUCGGGUGUCGCUGAUGGAUGGACCCGCGGUGCAUUAGCUAGUUGGUGAGGUAACGGCUCACCAAGGCCACGAUGCAUAGCCGACCUGAGAGGGUGAUCGGCCACAUUGGGACUGAGACACGGCCCAAACUCCUACGGGAGGCAGCAGUAGGGAAUCUUCGGCAAUGGACGAAAGUCUGACCGAGCAACGCCGCGUGAGUGAAGAAGGUUUUCGGAUCGUAAAACUCUGUUGUUAGAGAAGAACAAGGAUGAGAGUAAC
rnacentral:rRNA from 1 species